rnacentral:rRNA from 1 species
GGCCAGACUCCUACGGGAGGCAGCAGUGGGGGAUAUUGCACAAUGGGGGCAACCCUGAUGCAGCGACGCCGCGUGAGCGAUGGAGUACUUCGGUAUGUAAAGCUCUGUCAGCAGGGAAGAGAAUGACGGUACCUGACCAAGAAGCCCCGGCUAAAUACGUGCCAGCAGCCGCGGUAAUACGGAGGGUGCAAGCGUUGUCCGGAAUCAUUGGGCGUAAAGAGUUCGUAGGCGGUAUGUUAAGUCUGGUGUUAAAUGCAGAAGCUCAACUUCUGUUCGGCACUGGAUACUGGCAAACUAGAAUGCGGUAGAGGUAAAGGGAAUUCCUGGUGUAGCGGUGAAAUGCUUAGAUAUCAGGAGGAACAUCGGUGGCGUAAGCGCUUUACUGGGCCGUAAUUGACGCUGAGGAACGAAAGCCAGGGUAGCAAAUGGGAUUAGAUACCCCGGUAA